ACCGAGUUCGGCUCUGGGAAGCCAUCCGGCCUGUAAAGCCGGCGCGCAAGCUGGCGGGGUUCGAUUCCCUGACUCGGUA
rnacentral:tRNA from 1 species